UACGUAGGUGGCAAGCGUUGUCCGGAUUUAUUGGGUUUAAAGGGUGCGUAGGCGGCUUUGUAAGUCAGUGGUGAAAUACUCCAGCUCAACUGGAGAGGUGCCAUUGAUACUGCGGAGCUUGAGUACAGAUGAGGUAGGCGGAAUUGACGGUGUAGCGGUGAAAUGCUUAGAUAUCGUCAAGAACACCGAUAGCGAAGGCAGCUUACUAGGCUGUAACUGACGCUGAGGCACGAAAGUGUGGGGAUCAAACAGG
rnacentral:rRNA from 1 species